CAUCUCUUUGUGCCAGGCCCUGUCUAGGCACUGGCGCCCAACAGCAGGCAGCCGACGGCCCUCCCAGAGCUCACAGUCUAGCCCAGCGUGACCCAGGG
rnacentral:miRNA from 1 species